rnacentral:rRNA from 1 species
AGAACGCUGGGGGAAUAAGGAGAGGGCAAGUCUGGUGUCAGCCGCCGCGGUAAUACCAGCUCUCCGAGUGGUGUGGAUGUUUAUUGGGCCUAAAGCAUCCGUAGCUGGCUAGGUAAGUCCCUUGUUAAAUCCACCGAAUUAAUCGUUGGAUCGCGGGGGAUACUGCUUGGCUAGGGGACGAGAGAGGCAGACGGUAUUUUCGGGGUAGGGGUGAAAUCCUAUAAUCCCGGGAAGACCACCAGUGGCGAAGGCUGUCUGCUAGAACGCGCCCGACGGUGAGGGAUGAAAGCUGGGGGAGCGAACCGGAUUAGAUACCCGGGUAGUCCCAGCUGUAAACGAUGCAGACUAGGUGUUUGGACGGCCACGUGCCGUUCUAGUGCCGCAGGGAAGCUGUUAAGUCUGCCGCCUGGGGAGUACGAUCGCAAGAUUGAAACUUAAAGGAAUUGGCGGGGGAGCACCACAAGGGGUGAAGCUUGCGGUUUAAUUGGAGUCAACGCCGGAAAUCUCACCGGGAGCGACAGCAGUGUGAAGGCCAGAUUAAAGGUCUUGCCAGACGAGCUGAGAGGAGGUGCAUGGCCGUCGCCAGUUCGUGCCGUGAGGUGUCCUGUUAAGUCAGGCAACGAUCGAGACCCGCGUCCUCUGUUGCAACCAGCUUUGAGCUGGGCACACUGAGGAGACCGCCACUGAUAAAGUGGAGGAAGGAGCGGGCCACGGCAGGUC